GAUGAACGCUGGCGGCGUGCUUAACACAUGCCAGUCGAACGAUGAAGCCCAGCUUGCUGGGUGGAUUAGUGGCGAACGGGUGAGUAACACGUGAGUAACCUGCCCUUAACUCUGGGAUACGCCUGGGAAACUGGGUCUAAUACCGGAUAGGAGCGUCCACCGCAUGGUGGGUGUUGGAAAGAUUUAUCGGUUUUGGAUGGACUCGCGGCCUAUCAGCUUGUUGGUGAGGUAAUGGCUCACCAAGGCGACGACGGGUAGCCGGCCUGAGAGGGUGACCGGCCACACUGGGACUGAGACACGGCCCAGACUCCUACGGGAGGCAGCAGUGGGGAAUAUUGCACAAUGGGCGAAAGCCUGAUGCAGCGACGCCGCGUGAGGGAUGACGGCCUUCGGGUUGUAAACCUCUUUCAGUAGGGAAGAAGCGAAAGUGACGGUACCUGCAGAAGAAGCACCGGCUAACUACGUG
rnacentral:rRNA from 1 species